CUGGACAGGCAGGGGAAGUACCCAAUACGCGUCCGAACGCCCCUUUUCCACCACCUAGCUGGGUGGUGUUUGGGUCAUCACCUAAUCCGAAUCCGGCGUUAGCCAGCGUUUGUACUUCGACCCUUCGAAAACCCCCCCAAACCCUCUCUCUCUUUUGAUCGACUCUCCCCUUCUCUCUCUGAUCGAUCUCUCCCUAUUCCCCUCCCUCUUACAUUGGCCAGCGGCGCUCUACCGCAACCCAGCGGCGCAUCAGCCGCAUCGUGACGGUGCUCUGACCAUACCUCAGCAUCUAACGAAUAGGGUUUCUACCCUGGAAGGUUAGGUGAAAUGGAUGAUGAUACUGUGGAGAGUCCAGCAUUUUCUCAACCAUGUCAGAGGUUAGAUUCUAACAUUGAAAUUGAUGAUCAAGUAGCAAGUCAACAAGUAGAUGACCAUGAAGAAAGACAAGAUGUACCGGUCAAUAUAGAUGAGGAGUUAGAUGAAGAACCAAAACUAGGAAUGGAGUUUUCUUCGGAUGAGAGUGCAUAUGAGUUUUACAAUGGGUAUGCUAGGAAGAAGGGGUUCAGUACUCGAAAGUCAUGGGUAAAAAAAUCAGAUGAUGGUGUCAUAACUAAGAGGCACUUUUGUUGUUCUAAAGAAGGUCGGAAACGUGAAAAGAAACAUAUUGAUCAACCAAAGUUUACCCGCCCGAUUACAAGAACUCAAUGUCUAGCAAGCAUCAUUAUUAAGCUUCAGGUGAAUGGAAAAUACACUGUGACUAAGUUUGUGGCAGAGCAUAACCAUGAGGUUGUAACACAAUCGAAGGCGAACAUACUAACCCCUCAGAGUAGCUUGACUAAUGCUCAAAAAGCUAAAGCGCAUAUGGCGAAUGAUUCAGGAAUAACACCCAAAGUUUUAGAUUAUCAUAAUAUAAAGGUGCUUCAUCCUCAUUAUAUUAUGAAGAGAUGGCAAAGAGAUACAAAGGUAGGUUUUGAUAGAGAUCAUACUGGGUUAACAAUACCAGGUGACUGCAAUAUUCCUUUAGGUAAGCGGUACAAACAUUUGUGCCGCAAGCUUCUUAAAAUUGCGGCAAUGGCUGAGGAACAUGAUGAGGUCUUCAAAUUUGCUGAUAAAUAUGCAGAUAAAUUUUAUGAUAAAGUGAUGGAAUGUAUGAAAAGGAUCAAGGAAACUCCACAAAUGUUGUCUCAGGUUGUUGAUGAAAGUGUAGAUACUAAACGAACAUGCCCUGAGCCAAUUGAAAUUGUAGAUCUUGAACGUACACCCCUUGAGCUGACUGAAAGUGUAGAUACUGAAUGUGCACGCCGUGAGCUGACUGAAAGUGUAGAUAUGGAACGUGCAUGCCACGAGCCGACCGAAAGUGUAGAUAUUGAUUGUGUACACUCCAAGCCAACUGGAAGUGUAGAUACUGAAGGUGCACACCUUGAGCCAACUAAAAAGCAAGUUACUUCUGUUGAUAGUUUGAGUUCACAAACUGUAUGUGGGAUUAAAGUAAUGCCUAUAGUUAAGGACAACCGUGGUGCGCAUAAAAAUACGCUAGAUAAAGUAAGGAAGAAAAGAUCUCGAACUGAAUCCGUUCAGCCACAAACAGAUCAAGAGAAACAAGAAACAACUGAAGCACCAAAUAUCAUGCACCCUCCUUCAUUUCAACCUUCACAUUAUCCAUUUACAUUUCCUUCAUUGAAUCAUUUCAAUCAGGGUUCACAUAUUGCGGUUGUGAGUCCUUUUGGAUUACCAAGUGGAUACCAUGCGGGACAUGGUCAUCAUGUGGUGAUGGGCUACACUACUGGCCCUAGUGGAUCUAUCAAUGCAUCAUUGCCUCAAUGUGGGUACCAACUACAUAAUGUUAGCAUGUUUCAACAAAGCCCUUUCAACGUCGGAUCUCAAGUAAAAAGUUUGAAUGUUACCAAAGCGAGUCGUUUAAAAAUACCCAAGAGUGGUCCUAGUGGAUCCAUGAGUGAUCCCUUAUGUCAAGAUUCGUCUAAAGGAAGUGUCGCAUUUAACCAGUCGUCAUCAGCACCAUCCGAUAGCAAUCAAUUGGUGGGGUGUGAAGACCACCACCUACGUUCGAGUAAUUAGAUUUUCUUUUAUCAAAGUUGAGACUGGGAUCAUGAACGCUGAAAGGUCACAUGCAGGUGACUGCCCAAAUUUGUUGUGAUUUAUCAUCUGUUCUCACAUCUUGCAAAUGAAACUGCUUGUCUUUUCCACAAUCCUGAUCUAUUCUGAAGUUAUCCCACCAUCUAUAAGCUAACCUUGCGCCAUUGUUGUCUCUAGUAACAUAACCAAGAAGGCCCUAAGAUGUAGGCAUGUAGCUGAGUACUUUUUUCUUUUUCUGUCUGAAGUAUACGUAUCAACAACGAUCUCCUCUUUGAAAUUCUGUCAUGAAUUUUCCCUUCCAAGAGGCUUUACUUUUCACGUGAAAGUUACCAUAUACUAGUAAACAAUUAUACAUCCACAUGCCAGAACACCAAAACCCCAUGGACUGUACUUGUCAGGUUUCAGGAACAUAUAGACGGAUGUAUGCAGAUGUCGAUCUUUUAAACAAUCUUUGUUCUUCACCUUAGGAAUGUGGUAACUAAUUAUGGAUUUUUUUUUAUUUUGUCUACCUUCUGGAGAACACCAUUGAACUGCUAUCAUCAAAUGCACUGUUCAUCUAUGCGCGAAGAGUUGAUUGGUCUGGAUGGGCAGUCUAGAAUCGUUGAGGGAACCAUCAUUUUGUCAAAUUCAACUCACAGCCCUAUACUAAGGCAUUUACUAUUGUGAGAGUGCUGGGGAGAUCAUACUUUCAACCUUCAUGUCCAUCCGAUUUCUGAACAGUUAUUCUGCAUCAGCAUGGAGCAGGUGUCAAGCACUUUAGGCAGAACCUGUUUCUUGAUUCAUGCAAAGUAUCUUAUAAUACUAUAUAUUGCACUUGCAUGUGCCAUUUCAUCAGGUUCAAUCACUAGGUCUCCACAGAAGCAGAAGAUGCUGCAGGUCGAAGUUGGGCGCCAGCCGCUGCUGGGAUCCAAGCUUAGUGAUGUCAUGAAGUUGUCCACCACAAGACUUGCUCAAGUAAUUGUUCUGUGUCAACUGUCUAUACUGGCUUGAGAGAAAUGAGGGGAUAAAAUCUAGGGCUAUUGUUGAUGACUGCCGGUCAGGUGGAAGGUUGCAAAUAUCACUGGAUUGUGUGCAAAGGAAAUUUGACCAUGUCAAACAUGAUGAGCAGUAAGGAUGCACCGAAACACUAAGGACAUGAAUUACUGUGGACAUCAUGAUGUGUGUAUGUAUAUUGGGAGGCUUUUUUUUUUUUUUGGGCUGUCAAAGCCCAAAGACUUGCUAAGUGGGCCACGCCAACAAAAAAAAGUAAAUAAAUAAGGAUUGGCAUCACCAUGCCAUCAUUCAAGAA